rnacentral:lncRNA from 1 species
CUCAUAAAGUAUCAUUAAGAAUUUUUUAGUAUUAUUUAUAAUGUUUGUUUAAUGUUUUUUUAUUUUUUUCUCUUACUUUUGGCAAACGCGAACAAUCAGGAGAUGUCACGUCAGAUGAUACUGGUAUCAAAAGUAUCACUGGGUUGAUACUAAUCAUGUCCAUUCUAAUUGUUUUGUCAAUAUAAAAAUAAUUUCUGGGCUUGUGAUACUCUAAAAAUAUCACCC